UACGAAGGGUGCAAACGUUGCUCGGAAUUAUUGGGCGUAAAGGGUGCGUAGGCGGCGCGGUAAGUCGGGUGUGAAAUCUCGGGGCUUAACUCCGAAACUGCAUUCGAUACUGCCGUGCUUGAGGACUGGAGAGGAGACUGGAAUUUACGGUGUAGCGGUGAAAUGCGUAGAUAUCGUAAGGAAGACCAGUGGCGAAGGCGGGUCUCUGGACAGUUCCUGACGCUGAGGCACGAAGGUCAGGGGAGCAAACGGG
rnacentral:rRNA from 1 species